UGGGACGUCGCCAAGCUGGUAAGGCAUCGGAAUUUGGCUCCGACAUUCGGGAGUUCGAAUCUCUCCGUCCCAGCCA
rnacentral:tRNA from 3 species